GUUUGUCUCAACAUUGUCUCCUCGCGCGCAUAGUGAAAAUCCCCCUCUGUCUGCGCGCGCACAGCCAAUCAAAACUCUCCUCGCCUCUGACGUCAGCCCGACGCCACUCGCUUUUCAUUUGAAUCUGGUGAAGUACCAGCCGUUGAAAACAACAAACAACACGCGCGAUGCCGAUCCUUCUGAAUUUUGUGUUGUAUUUCGGCAUUUUAUGGGUGUUUUUGACUGUGAACUGAAGAAUUUUUGUGAUUGUGCCACUACGCGUGUUUGAAACGUCGCCGAUGUGUGAAGAUUUCUGCCAACGGCAAGCCCCGGGAGCGAAACUCGGUGAAGGCCCCGAGUUUGACCGUGUUGACGACGCAGAUUUGGGCCGGACUGGGCCGAAAUUCAGCGCAAAGCUGUUUGAAACGUCGCCGAUGUGUGAAGAUUUUUGCCAUCAGGAAGCCCCGGGAGCGAAACUCGGCGGAAGCUCCGCGAGUUUGUCGAAUUUGACCGUUGCAACGCAGUUGGGCUGGCCGGGGCCGAAAUUUGUUUCUUGAUUAACGCAAUAAACGGCGAACGGCAUCAUUGAGAAAACGACGCAGGCCAAUCUUUGGAUACUUUGGCAUUCGAACUGACAAUGAGAAGAGGAGUCCGAUCUCCAAAUUUUUAAGAUCCUGUUUUCGGAAAGUCUACAUGGACAUAAAUACCGCCCUGGACAGUUGCCUGCUGGAAAAAAGCCACCUGUCAGCCUGUUCCUGGAGUAAAGAUAAAGAAGAACACAAUACGCACCCAUUCUAUCAUCAAGAUCAGCUACUUGAAAUUGUGAAGGUCUAUCAAGAGAAUUAAAUUAUAAUUUAAAGCGCCACUCCAAUCAUAGUCCAGACUUCACAGCAUCCAACAGACAUGAGGCUUGAGCAUGCCGAAGGAAGCCACAUUCCUCAAGGCACUCAGCACAAGGAGCAACUUCUUCUUUGUUUCGCUGAUGGAAUUUUGCCACCGUCAAACUGCGGCAGCCUCAGUCUUGCUGGAUGCUGCAAUGUGAAGGAAGGGACCCACUCAUUCAGUCCGCACCACCUGGCUCUUUGCCUUGACUGGCCAGGGCCAAUCAAAGCAUACUGCCGUAUGGUGCCGACUGAAUUUGUUUCUCAUGCAGCAUCCAACAGAUGUGAGGCUGCAGCAAGCCGACGGAGGCAAAAUUCCUCAAGGCACUCAACAAAAGCAGCAGGUGCCCCUUUGUGCCUCAUUUGUCGACUUUUGGCUCCGUCGUCGACUUUCUCAAUCACCAGCAGUUUAUUGUAUGGGAGCAAAAGAGGAUGGAAGCCCUGAAUCAGAGUAUCAGACAGCGCAACUCCACCCACAGUCCAGACUUCACAGGUGCCCUUGUGUGUCGGUUGUCGACUUUUGUCUCCGUCGACUUUCUCCAAUCAGCAGCUUGUCUGGGAGCAUAAUUAAUAAACAUAACUAACUGUUUCACAAUUGAGACUUUUUUAAAUGAUUUAUGUAAAUAUAUAUACAAUACAAAUACAUGUAAGGGGGAACAAAAUUGUACUGUGGUGUCUUUUUCAAGAAACUACUCAUGGCAAAUAAGGCAACUCUCUGCCACCUAUUGAGCAAUUAUGCAAAUUUCACGGUCACGAACACAACUUCCGCAGUUGGCAACACAAAGUCCGCGGAUGUUCGGUUGACUACCGAAAAUGCAUUGUUUAAGCCAAAAUUAAGACAAAACUGUGGUACAAAUGAGAUAAAUACGACAUUGAAGAGUCAUUAAAGAGUUACAAAAUAUUAAGCUGUCUUUUGUGUUGUGAAAAUUUUGCCUCUGUAUCCUACUCACGAUGUGACACAGCACGAGAAAAUCCAAAGUUACAAUUAUUUCAGAAAUUAUUAAGCAUAAUCAUGAUGAUUAAAUGUUAAAUAAAUAUUGCCUCGCCUGACCACAGUAAAAGAUUUCACGGUCACAAACACAAUUUCCACAGUUGGCAACACAAAGUCCGCGGAUGUUGUGUUGACCACUGCUGACGAUGUAUUGUAUUUGCAACCGAGGAUAUUUUGUCAUUUCGGUCAGCGAUCAACCAGUUCCCUCGCCCCCGGAAAAUGUUGAGCACAAAGCAAAUUCAUUGAAAUGUUUCAGAACAUAUUAUUAAAGCAGAGAAUCUCUAGAUAUACUUUUUGCCUGCUUUUUAUCUUUUGCCUUCAUUUUGUCCCAAUUUUAUCUUAAUUUUAUCUCAUUUUUGUCACAUUUUGUGUAAUUGAAUUAAUUUUAAAAUAAAAGAUCUUCUUUGAGCAAGAGAAAAAGUUGCUUUUAAUGCGGUUAAUUUAAUUCGAAAAUCCCUUUUUCGAAAUUGAAGUGGAAAUUGAUAACUAAACCAAUUUAAAAAAAAAUCCGCAAAUACAGGUUGAAUGUCGCUUCACUCUUUUGUAUAUCAAGCGUGGGAACCGCUUCAAAUCUGAAUUGAGAGUCAACUCCUCUAAAAUCGCUGAGCAGUGGCUAAAUUUAAAUAUAAUAAUUAAUAUGUUUUAUUUUUAGAGCCAUGGCUUAAGUUUUAUCCUUCUGUGUUAAUGUAAAAUGGUAAAAUAAAUAAAUUCAUUUUCGUGAAAUUUUCCUUUAGCUUUUGAACCUGCACGUCUUCUCCGCGCGUUCCAGGGGGCGAAACUUGACCGUAAGUUCAGUUCAUCUGCAUCAACCAUUUAUCAAAAGAAAUCCGUUCAAAACAAACCAAAACAAUAAUUUUAUGCAUUUUCACACUUCUUUCAUUAGCCCUUAGGAAUUCAAGAAUCUGCGACACUAACAAAUUUUUUUUCCUCAAAUCGCGUUGGUUGGCAUUGGAAGAGUUUAGCAUCCAAAACAAAGGCCCGGCCUCCCAUUCCCAUUCUGGACUUUCUGGAGCGAUAUUUUUUGUCCCCCUAAAAAAGCAAUACUUUUUUUAUUGCACACAAUAAUACAUAGAGUCGUUAAUUCCACUACUCACUGGAUAUCCUCAUUUUUAUGAAAUGCUGGUCGUAUUUCUAUUAUUUGACACCUGGACGUAGUAAAAGACUCUUGAGAACUGCCUGAAUAACCAAUAAACACCCUCCUUCCGCAGAGCUGACUUAUCUGCCCAUUUUUGUGAAAUGCUGCUCCUAUUUUGAAAAGGUGACACCUGGAAGACAUAUAAGACCCUUGUCUUGAGAACUGCCUUAACAACCAACCACAACCUUCCUUGCACAGCCUGACAUCUGAGGUGCGACCAUGCUGCUUUUCAAUCAGCCCAACUUCCUCGUCGUAUGAUGUUGCAUAUUGAAACUCAUUUAUCAAAAUUGAUGUUGACCUGUCUUGGGAAGGGGACAAUGUUUAUAACUUACAAAGUGUCUUAUUAGUACUCUCCAGCCCCUAAAAAGCCGGGGUCGAUUGGUCUAUGGAUGCUAUGACGUCAACAAGCCACCAUAGUGAAACUAGGAACUGUAAAAGCAUGGUGAAUACAAGCUACUCGCCUAUUGGUGCACCGUGAACUUUUCUCACGUUCCCCGUUUUAUGCUUAUUUCAUAUUGCACAACUUCCGCAGUGGCGACGCAAUCGCGAACACAACUUCCGCAACCUCUCGGAGCCUCGUAGUA